rnacentral:rRNA from 1 species
UACAUAGGGUGCGAGCGUUGUCCGGAAUUAUUGGGCGUAAAGGGCUCGUAGGCGGUUUGUCACGUCGGGAGUGAAAACUCAGGGCUUAACCCUGAGCCUGCUUCCGAUACGGGCAGACUAGAGGUAUGCAGGGGAGAAUGGAAUUCCUGGUGUAGCGGUGAAAUGCGCAGAUAUCAGGAGGAACACCGGUGGCGAAGGCGGUUCUCUGGGCAUUACCUGACGCUGAGGAGCGAAAGUGUGGGGAGCGAACAGG